rnacentral:piRNA from 1 species
UAAAAGCUCUUCCCCAUUAGAGUCUGC